GCAAAACCGAUGAUGGAACAAAGAUUACUGAUGUCUUCAGAGAGCCGGUGGAUGGUGCAAACCGGUGGCAGACGGAAAUCUUUAGCGCUCCUGAGAUAUUGUAUUGAACCUUGAGUAGAUACAAUCGGAUCACCUCCGUUACCAGUGUGGCCUAUUCAGGCCAAUGAGGCUGCUUCUUAACCGUUGCAGUGAAUUAGGGUGGUACCACGAGAACUCUCGUCCCUUAC
rfam:Paenibacillus sp. IHB B 3415 contig_041, whole genome shotgun sequence.